rnacentral:rRNA from 1 species
GUUGGGUAGGGGAGCGUUCUGUAAGCCUGCGAAGGUGUGUCGUGAGGCAUGCUGGAGGUAUCAGAAGUGCGAAUGCUGACAUAAGUAACGAUAAUGCGGGUGAAAAACCCGCACGCCGGAAGACCAAGGGUUCCUGUCCAACGUUAAUCGGGGCAGGGUGAGUCGACCCCUAAGGCGAGGCCGAAAGGCGUAGUCGAUGGGAAACGGGUUAAUAUUCCCGUACCUGGUGUUACUGCGAAGGGGGGACGGAGAAGGCUAUGUUGGCCGGGCGACGGUUGUCCCGGUUUAAGCGUGUAGGCUGGUUUUCCAGGCAAAUCCGGAAAAUCAAGGCUGAGGCGUGACGACGAGGCACUACGGUGCUGAAGCAACAAAUGCCCUGCUUCCAGGAAAAGCCUCUAAGCCUCAGGUAACAUCAGAUCGUACCCGAAACCGACACAGGUGGUCAGGUAGAGAAUACCAAGGCGCUUGAGAGAACCCGGGUGAAGGAACUAGGCAAAAUGGUGCCGUAACUUCGGGAGAAGGCACGCUGACACGUAGGUGAAGCGGUUUACCCGUGGAGCUGAAGUCAGUCGAAGAUACCAGCUGGCUGCAACUGUUUAUUAAAAACACAGCACUGUGCAAACACGAAAGUGGACGUAUACGGUGUGACGCCUGCCCGGUGCCGGAAGGUUAAUUGAUGGGGUCAGCGCAAGCGAAGCUCCUGAUCGAAGCCCCGGUAAACGGCGGCCGUAACUAUAACGGUCCUAAGGUAGCGAAAUUCCUUGUCGGGUAAGUUCCGACCUGCACGAAUGGCGUAAUGAUGGCCAGGCUGUCUCCACCCGGGACUCAGUGAAAUUGAACUCGCUGUGAAGAUGCAGUGUACCCGCGGCAAGACGGAAAGACCCCGUGAACCUUUACUAUAGCUUGACACUGAACACUGGUCCUUGAUGUGCAGGAUAGGUGGGAGGCUUUGAAGUGUGGACGCCAGUCUGCAUGGAGCCGUCCUUGAAAUACCACCCUUUAAUGGCUGGUGUUCUAACGUAGACCCGUGAACCGGGUUGCGGACAGUGUCUGGUGGGUAGUUUGACUGGGGCGGUCUCCUCCUAAAGCGUAACGGAGGAGCACGAAGGUUGGCUAAUCCUGGUCGGACAUCAGGAGGUUAGUGCAAUGGCAUAAGCCAGCUUGACUGCGAGCGUGACGGCGCGAGCAGGUGCGAAAGCAGGUCAUAGUGAUCCGGUGGUUCUGAAUGGAAGGGCCAUCGCUCAACGGAUAAAAGGUACUCCGGGGAUAACAGGCUGAUACCGCCCAAGAGUUCAUAUCGACGGCGGUGUUUGGCACCUCGAUGUCGGCUCAUCACAUCCUGGGGCUGAAGUAGGUCCCAAGGGUAUGGCUGUUCGCCAUUUAAAGUGGUACGCGAGCUGGGUUUAGAACGUCGUGAGACAGUUCGGUCCCUAUCUGCCGUGGGCGCUGGAGAACUGAGGGGGGCUGCUCCUAGUACGAGAGGACCGGAGUGGACGCAUCACUGGUGUUCGGGUUGUCAUGCCAAUGGCACUG